AUGAUUUUGGUGAGUUUGUUUGUUCCAAAGUCAGAGAGCCGUGUCUCUCUACAGUCAGAGGUUUUUGUACGGCGGCUCAAUCAGUUUGUAUCACUGUGGUACACGUUCGGUGGAGGAACCAGACUGGAUGUUGGAAGUGAUGUCCGUCCCACCCUGACGGUGCUGCCCCCCUCCAGUGAGGAGCUGCAGCAGGGGAAGGCCACGCUCAUGUGCCUGGCCAACAAGGGCUUCCCCUCAGACUGGAGUCUGUCCUGGAAGGUGGACGGCAGCAGCAGCAGCAGCAGCAGCAGCAUGAGCUGGGAGGAGAGCAGGAGCCCCGGGGUGCUGGAGAAGGACGGCCACUACAGCUGGAGCAGCACCCUGAGGCUCCCUGCAGACCAGUGGAGGAAGGUGGUCUCUGUGAGCUGUGAGGCCACCCAGGGCUCCCACACUCCGCUCUCACAGACACUGAGGAGAGACCAGUGUUCCCAGUCCUGACCUCACUCACUGGGACUCUCAUACUGCUUUGACUCUCUGUCUGCUCUCUGGAACUCUCUCUCUUUCUGUCUCUCAUCAAAGUAAAUAACGAUUCAAAUAGUCCUGUUUUCCUCCUCAUCAUGUCACAGCUCAUGUUUUCACACAAU